rnacentral:rRNA from 1 species
UGGGCAACCUGCCCCUCUCUCUGGGAUAACCCCGGGAAACCGGAGCUAAUACCGGAUACUCCGGCUGGAUCGCAUGUCCGGCCGGGAAAGGUCCGCCGGAGAGGGAUGGGCCCGCGGCCUAUCAGCUAGUUGGUGGGGUAAUGGCUCACCAAGGUCGACGACGGGUAGCUGGU